rnacentral:rRNA from 1 species
AAUAUUGGACAGUGGGGGCAACCCUGACCCAGCCAUGCCGCGUGUGUGAAGAAGGUCUUCGGAUUGUAAAGCACUUUAAGUUGGGAGGAAGGGCUUUAGGUUAUUACCUUGAAGUUUGGACGUUACCAACAGAAUAAGCACCGGCUAACGCUGUGCCAGCAGCCGCGGUAAUACAGAGGGUGCAAGCGUUAAUCGGAAUUACUGGGCGUAAAGCGCGCGUAGGUGUGUUAGUAAGAUGGGUGUGAAAUCCCCGGGCUUAACCUGGGAACUGCUUUCAUAACUGCUGAGCUAGAGUACGGUAGAGGGUAGUGGAAUUUCCUGUGUAGCGGUGAAAUGCGUAGAUAUAGGAAGGAACACCAGUGGCGAAGGCGACUACCUGGACUGAUACUGACACUGAGGUGCGAGAGCGUGGGGGGCAAAC